GAAAGGUGCUUGCAUCUUGAUUUUAAUUUUGAACGAGUGGCGGACGGGUGAGUAACACGUGGGUAACCUGCCCUUAAGUGGGGGAUAACAUUUGGAAACAGAUGCUAAUACCGCAUAAAUCCAAGAACCGCAUGGUUCUUGGCUGAAAGAUGGCGUAAGCUAUCGCUUUUGGAUGGACCCGCGGCGUAUUAGCUAGUUGGUGAGGUAACGGCUCACCAAGGCAAUGAUACGUAGCCGAACUGAGAGGUUGAUCGGCCACAUUGGGACUGAGACACGGCCCAAACUCCUACGGGAGGCAGCAGUAGGGAAUCUUCCACAAUGGACGCAAGUCUGAUGGAGCAACGCCGCGUGAGUGAAGAAGGCUUUCGGGUCGUAAAACUCUGUUGUUGGAGAAGAAUGGUCGGCAGAGUAACUGUUGUCGGCGUGACGGUAUCCAACCAGAAAGCCACGGCUAACUACGUGCCAGCAGCCGCGGUAAUACGUAGGUGGCAAGCGUUAUCCGGAUUUAUUGGGCGUAAAGCGAGCGCAGGCGGUUUUUUAAGUCUGAUGUGAAAGCCCUCGGCUUAACCGAGGAAGUGCAUCGGAAACUGGGAAACUUGAGUGCAGAAGAGGACAGUGGAACUCCAUGUGUAGCGGUGAAAUGCGUAGAUAUAUGGAAGAACACCAGUGGCGAAGGCGGCUGUCUGGU
rnacentral:rRNA from 1 species